AGCGAACGCUGGCGGCAGGCCUAACACAUGCAAGUCGAACGGACCUUUCGGGGUUAGUGGCGGACGGGUGAGGAACACGUGGGAACGUGCCUUUAGGUUCGGAAUAGCUCCUGGAAACGGGUGGUAAUGCCGAAAGUGCCCUUAGGGGGAAAGAUUUAUCGCCUUGAGAGCGGCCCGCGUCUGAUUAGCUAGUUGGUGAGGUAAUUGCUCACCAAGGCUACGAUCAGUAGCUGGUCUGAGAGGAUGACCAGCCACAUUGGGACUGAGACACGGCCCAAACUCCUACGGGAGGCAGCAGUGGGGAAUCUUGCGCAAUGGGCGAAAGCCUGACGUAGCCAUGCCGCGUGGAUGAUGAAGGUCUUAGGAUUGUAAAAUCCUUUCACCGGUGAAGAUAAUGACUGUAGCCGGAGAAGAAGCCCCGGCUAACUUCGUGCCAGCAGCCGCAGUAA
rnacentral:rRNA from 1 species